rnacentral:rRNA from 1 species
GGCGCGCCUAACACAUGCAAGUCGAACGAGAGACUCUUCGGAGUAGUAAAGUGGCGAACGGGUGAGUAAUACAUGGGUAAUCUGCCUUUGAGCGGGGGAUAACCAGCCGAAAGGCUGGCUAAUACCCCAUACGCUUCCGGUCCCUCGGGUAAGGAAGGAAAGCUGCAUCGUGGAUGUGGCACUCGAAGAUGGGCUCAUGGCCUAUCAGCUUGUUGGUGGGGUAACGGCCUACCAAGGCAACGACGGGUAGCUGGUCUGAGAGGACGAUCAGCCACACUGGCACUGAGAUACGGGCCAGACUCCUACGGGAGGCAGCAGUGAGGAAUAUUGCGCAAUGGGCGAAAGCCUGACGCAGCGACGCCGCGUGGGGGAAGAAGGUUUUCGGAUUGUAAACCCCUUUUAGGAGGAAAGAUGGGGUGGUUUUCCACCCGGACGGUACCUCCAGAAAAAGCCACGGCUAACUUCGUGCCAGCAGCCGCGGUAAUAC